rnacentral:rRNA from 5 species
GUUUGAUCCUGGCUCAGGACGAACGCUGGCGGCGUGCUUAACACAUGCAAGUCGAACGGAAAGGCCCUGCUUUUGUGGGGUGCUCGAGUGGCGAACGGGUGAGUAACACGUGAGUAACCUGCCCUUGACUUUGGGAUAACUUCAGGAAACUGGGGCUAAUACCGGAUAGGAGCUCCUGCUGCAUGGUGGGGGUUGGAAAGUUUCGGCGGUUGGGGAUGGACUCGCGGCUUAUCAGCUUGUUGGUGGGGUAGUGGCUUACCAAGGCUUUGACGGGUAGCCGGCCUGAGAGGGUGACCGGCCACAUUGGGACUGAGAUACGGCCCAGACUCCUACGGGAGGC